rnacentral:rRNA from 1 species
AUUGAACGCUGGCGGCAGGCCUAAUACAUGCAAGUCGAGCGGAGUUUUCGGACCUAGCGGCGGACGGGUGAGUAAUGCGUAGGAAGCUGCCCGAUAGAGGGGGAUACCAGUUGGAAACGACUGUUAAUACCGCAUAAUGUCUACGGACCAAAGUGUGGGACCUUCGGGCCACAUGCUAUCGGAUGCGCCUACGUGGGAUUAGCUAGUUGGUGAGGUAAUGGCUCACCAAGGCGACGAUCUCUAGCUGGUUUAAGAGGAUGAUCAGCCACACUGGAACGGAGACACGGCCCAGACUCCUACGGGAGGCAGCAGUGGGGAAGAUUGGACAAGGGGCGCAAGACUGAGCCAGCCAGGCCGCGUGUGUGAAGAAGGCCUUCGGGUUGUAAAGCACUUUCAGCGAGGAGGAAGGGGUUGUAGUUAAUAGCUGCAACCUUUGACGUUACUCGCAGAAGAAGCACCGGCUAACUCUGUGCCAGCCGCCGCCGUAACAC